AAAGUACUGCCACCGGGCAGGAUAAUGCAGAAGCAUUCAUGGACAUAUCGGUAGGUCUUAGGAGAUAUGUGUAUGGGUGCUUUUUGCCU
rnacentral:ncRNA from 1 species